GACCCGGUAACUCAACUGGUAGAGUAGGUCCUUCUAACAGAUUUAGUUGUGGGUUCGAAUCCCACCUGGGUCACCA
rnacentral:tRNA from 1 species